UUUUGCUAUAAUGCUCUCCAAUGGGUUACCAAAAACCUCUUAAAGGUCACACAGGCUCUACUACUCAGCUCCUUUCUUGCAACGUCCUCGUCGUACAAGGUGCAAACCUGUACCACCGUAUAUCCAAACAUUGGUACACAGGAUAGUUUCAACCCCUUGGGCGGAUGGUGAUGCACGGCAAAACGGGAAGGG
rnacentral:ribozyme from 1 species